AGAGUUUGAUCCUUGGCUCAGGACGAACGCUGGCGGCGUGCCUAAUACAUGCAAGUCGAACGCUUCUUUCCUCCCGAGUGCUUGCACUCAAUUGGAAAGAGGAGUGGCGGACGGGUGAGUAACACGUGGGUAACCUACCCAUCAGAGGGGGAUAACACUUGGAAACAGGUGCUAAUACCGCAUAACAGUUUAUGCCGCAUGGCAUAAGAGUGAAAGGCGCUUUCGGGUGUCGCUGAUGGAUGGACCCGCGGUGCAUUAGCUAGUUGGUGAGGUAACGGCUCACCAAGGCCACGAUGCAUAGCCGACCUGAGAGGGUGAUCGGCCACACUGGGACUGAGACACGGCCCAGACUCCUACGGGAGGCAGCAGUAGGGAAUCUUCGGCAAUGGACGAAAGUCUGACCGAGCAACGCCGCGUGAGUGAAGAAGGUUUUCGGAUCGUAAAACUCUGUUGUUAGAGAAGAACAAGGACGUUAGUAACUGAACGUCCCCUGACGGUAUCUAACCAGAAAGCCACGGCUAACUACGUGCCAGCAGCCGCGGUAAUACGUAGGUGGCAAGCGUUGUCCGGAUUUAUUGGGCGUAAAGCGAGCGCAGGCGGUUUCUUAAGUCUGAUGUGAAAGCCCCCGGCUCAACCGGGGAGGGUCAUUGGAAACUGGGGGACUUGAGUGCAGAAGAGGAGAGUGGAAUUCCAUGUUGUAGCGGUGAAAUGCGUAGAUUAUAUGGAGGAACACCAGUGGCGACGCGGCUCUCUGGUCUGUAACUGACGCUGAGCUCGAAAGCGUGGGGAGCAACAGAUUAGAUACCCUGGUAGU
rnacentral:rRNA from 1 species